rnacentral:rRNA from 1 species
GAUGAACGCUGGCGGCGUGCCUAACACAUGCAAGUCGAGCGGGAUGUAUAUGGACGAAAACUUCGGUCUAGGAAAUAUACUGAUAGCGGCGGACGGGUGAGUAACGCGUAGGCAACCUGCCCUUGACACAGGGAUAGCCUCGGGAAACCGGGAUUAAAACCUGAUGACGCCAAACAGUCACAUGGCUGUUUGGCCAAAGAUUUAUCGGUCAAGGAUGGGCCUGCGUCUGAUUAGUUAGUUGGUGGGGUAACGGCCUACCAAGACGACGAUCAGUAGCCGACCUGAGAGGGUGAUCGGCCACAUUGGAACUGAGACACGGUCCAAACUCCUACGGGAGGCAGCAGUGGGGAAUAUUGCACAAUGGGCGAAAGCCUGAUGCAGCAACGCCGCGUGAGCGAUGAAGGCCUUUGGGUCGUAAAGCUCUGUCCUUGGGGAAGAAAAAAUGACGGUACCCAAGGAGGAAGCCCGGCUAACUACGUG